CAUAUUUCUCUAGUAAGUAAAAAGCCAAAAAAAUUGGCUUAUUUUAUUAAGUCAAAAUUAUCUAAAAAGUCUCAUUAAGUUAUAAAAACAAACACCUCUAAUUAACUUAAUUAAAACCUCUAAUUAACUUAAUUAAUUAAGUUAAGUUACUUUAAGUCAUUAAGUUAAAAAACAAACGCCACCAAAAUUAAAAUAUUUAAAACGGGUCAUAUUUUUGCCUUUUGAUUAAAAGAAAAAUCAGAUUGGAGAGAGGAAGCUAAAACUGAAGCCAAAUCAACUGCUACAACGUGUAGCAGCAUCUUCAAAUUGCUUUUUCUUCUCUGAAAUGACCAUUUUUUUAAAUUUUUAUUGGGUGUAACAUAGCACUUUUAAUUUUCCUAAUUAAGUGUAUUAUUUAAUUUUUCCCUUCCGACAUUAAUUUUAAAUUUAUCAUAUUUGUUUUAAAUUAGUGCGGUGAAAUUGAUACAACAUGAUUAUCCGAUAAUGAGUGGUGAUAGUUAAAUGUUACUAGUUUAUUGAAUAAAUUGUGUUUGGAUUAUUUUAAAUUUGUCACAAUAUAAAAUUGAGACAAUUCGAAUACGAUUCAAUGACUGUGUAAGUCAGAUUUUAUUUCAACACAGGUCAAUCAUUAGCUUAAUUGGUGGUAAACUUAAAAAAAAAGUUGGUUUCCAUAAUUGGAAAGAGAGAGUCUUAGCUCGUUCACCCGACUCGCGACCUUGACCCAACUCCAGCCACUGAUUCCGGCCACGACUACGGUCGAUACAGGUACCGAUUUGAAGCUUGAGAGACGAGCAAUGUAUCCCUACCAUCCUCAUUGCCGAAAAACGGCCAGAUCACCGGUGAUUUAGCCCAAAACGACCGUGGCUCCACCCAUUUUAGUCGCCGUCGAUUCCACCGGAGUUAGGCCGCACCACCACCUAAAUCUUGUUUCUCAGCUCACCCUCGUCACUUUCCGACCAGCUACAACCACCAACACGUUGUUUUGGCAGCGAACGAUCGCCGGAAAACUCAUGGAUGUGGGAGCGUCGAUCCGCUGCCAUUGGCGCGUGUGGGAGGUCACUGUCGGCACCAUUGGACUGACGAAAGUCUUCUUAAAGACCUGAGCUUCCCGUCGCCAUUGACUGAAGCCUUGUCAUCGUUGACUAGCAAGGGCAAUUCAGUAAUUUCACCAAUUUUGGGGAUAAUCUUAUAAUUUUGAGAAUCGGUCGAUAAUUUAGUAAUUUCGGACUAGGGCAAUUAGGUUAUUUGAGAUUUUGGGAAAAUUCGGUAAUUUAAGUUAUUAAGGGCAUUUUGUUAAUUUCACACUUCGAGGGUAAUUUCAUAAUUUCUAAAUAUUGUGGUUAUUUUUGUGAUUUGAAUUGAGGGCAGAUUGGUAAUUUAGGAUUCUGAGGAUAAUUUGGUAAAUAUUGGUGUUGGGGCAUUUUGGCAAUUUUGGCAUGCAGGGGUAUUUUAGUAAUUUUAUGCAUACGGGAAUAGUUUAUUAUGAAUGAAUAUUCAUUUUGAGCUCUAUUGCAUAAAAUUAGUUGUAUUUCAUAUUUACGGAAAAUGAUUAUGUCGUUUCCUUGAAUUAUGAAGAUCCACAAACGAGAAUCAACCCGCAAACGUUGACGAUACUGAGUUCGAACAUCAUCACUUUGAGUGGAAUAUAUAAAAUCUAUUUUCAUAGUAUAUUUUGAUUUUAUGAUACAAUACAACAUGCUUUGAUAAAUAAGUAUUUGAUGCUUCGAUUUAAUGAUUUUUUUUAAAAUAGAUUUUUAUCUGCGUGCCAAUAUUUAUUAUUAUUAAAAAUGAGUUUGAUUAAUGAUUUUAUUAUCGUUUUUGAGUAAAUGCAUGAUAAUAGAAUUGAGUGGAUUUGAGAUAUGGUAAAUAAAAAGGAAAUGAGAUUUCAAAUGUGAUUUUAUGUUUAUGUACAUGUGUAUAAAAGGUUGUUUGUAAAAUCAUUGGACAGUACUCUUUCCCUCCGGAUAUAGUGAUAUAGAUUAUAUGAGAUGAGAGGCCUUUGGAGCCCGUCUGAAUACACAUAGAGGCUUUGAGCCAUGUGUUUGGGCACUUUUGCCUUUUUGGGGCAUAUGCAUGUGUAUGAUGAUUACAGAGAUACAGACAUUAAUAUACAAAUUAUACGGAUGAGAUAUGAUGAUACAUAUGAGUUAUGAUGAUACAGACGAGAUAUAGGUCUUUCAGAUCCGUCUGAGUACACACAGAGGCUUUGGGCUGUGUGCUUGGGUGCCUUAUCCUUUGGGGACCAGAUUAUACAUGCACAAAUAUGAUGAGAUAUAUGAGAUAUGAGAUGGCAUUUUCCCAUCCAUCCGUUGUAGCUCCAGGGCAUGAUGGUUCCCUGAUUGUCCAUCUGUCGAGGUCCGAAUAUGAUGAGUUUAUUCCCCUGGGUACUCAUUUGAUGAUAGUUUUUGGUAUUUAGUAUUUGAUAUUAUAAGUGUUAUGAUUUAAUUGAUUUUAUGUAGAUUUAUGUAAUAUUGUUAUUUCAGUGCAUGAUUUGAAUUAAAUAAGUUUAUGUAAGUCCUUAUGAUAUUUUGAUGAAAUCGAUUUGAGAAAGAUUAAAUCAUUUUAAAUAAAUUUAUUUUUCAAAAACUACUAUCCACUCACUGAGCUCACUAAAUUUUAUACUUACUCCGUUUUUAUUAUAUCCCCCCCCCCCAACAGAAGAUUUGUAGGUACAUCAAUCGACCCAACAAUGAUAGUUAGAUUUAAAAUUAUGGCCACGUGAUGGUGUUUGGAAUCAUUGAUGUUUUGUUGGGAUAUUUUGAAUUGUAUAAUUUAUUACUUAUUUGUGAUUAAGGAUAAAUUAUUGUAUUAUUAACAUUCUAUGCUUGAAGGAUACUGGUAUUUGAUUGAGGAAGUUGGUUGUGGAGGUUGAUUGAAUAUUGUAUCAUUUUUUUAGUGUUAAUUUUAUAAAUUGCAGGUUUAGGGAUGUCAUAAUUAUAUAGGAGACUCUGGUGAAUUUUUUGUAGAAUUCUUAGAUAUUAGAAUUAUUAUUAAUUCGUUUAGGCGAGAUUAGAUAGACUCGUCCUAGAGAUUCGGGGUGGGUCGUUUCAUUGGGGGCAAAGAAAAUCCGUACUUCUUGAUUUUAAAAAAUUUUGGAUUAAAAAAUUAAUAUUUAUGGUAUUCUUUAAUAAAUAUGACAAAACUAUGGUGCAACGGUGGUACCGUGCCACCGUUGCGCCUACCCGUUGGAUCCCAAUGGAUCCAUCCAUCCAAGUGGAUCCAUCCAUCCAAGUGGAUCCAACGGCUUGAUGCAACGGUGGCACAAGACCACCGUUGCACCGUAGUCGAACCCUAAUAAAUAAGAUUAAUAACUAAAAUUUUGUUAAAGAAUUUGUUUACAACGUGACUAGACUCAUUUGUUUCAAGUGUAUUUCUUUUUUCUUUUUUUGUGCUUAAUAGUUUUCUUGGUGUUUUGGGUGAAUUAAUUUAAAUGGUUUAAAUUUGACAAAGAGCUACAAAGUAAAACUUAAAAUUUUAAAUUUAAUAGAUGAGUGUGCAGAAUGAUAAAAUGUUUGAAAGUAAUUUUUAAAGUACAAAUAGCACCACUCUUCUCUAAUCAUCAUUUUGGGAGAAGAAAAAGACAAAAGAGAAUAUGAAUCUUAAGAUUAUGAAAGUUUCUAUUAAUACAAAGAUCAAAUCGUUGAUCAUAACUAUUAUCUUCCGAGAUUCUCUGGGGAAAAAAAUAAUAGUUUGGCCAAAGCAUGCAUAUUAAUUUCAGUAAUGAGAUUAUCAAAAAAAUAGGCAUUUAAUAUUAGAAACUAAACGGAGAAUUUUCUUCGACUCUGAGGCUCCAUUUGGUACAGCUUAUUAAAUAGAGCUUAUAACAGUAGAGUUUAUACCAAUAGAGCUACCAAUAGUGCUUUUGGACAAAAAGUCAUUAGGUGUUUGGUUGUCAAUAAAAAAAUACUUUUAAACCAUUAAACUGUGUGAUAUUUUUUAUAUUAUAUAUUUUUUAGAAAAGCUCUCUAACCUCUACUUUCAAAAUCUCAAAUUUUGGGCUUUUGCUAGUAGAGGUAAAUUAGCUUAUUUAAGGUAAAAAAAACUCUAUUAAAAAAAUAACCAAAAACCAUAAAAAAUUUUAAAAAGUGCUUACGCGAUUAAAUAAGCACUUAUGGCUCUUAAAUAAGCCAUACCAAACAGGCACUCAACAUAGUUAUUUUAUAUUUAAUUAAUGCAUUAACUGAUUUGUGGCAUACAUGCAUGGCUCUAUACAUAACCAGAUCCUCCAUUAAUUAGAAGAAGUUGUGGCAAAAUUAAAGAUUUUGGCAGUAUGGCAAUACAUAAGCUUCAAAUGGUUGCCCGAGUUCUCUUUCUCGCUUUCUUUUUUGUAUUUAUUUGUGGUAUGUACACUCUUUCACUUUAGUAUUGUUUUUGUUAGUAUUAUUAUUAUUUAUUUUGUUAUACGUUUACAUACUUAAUAAAAAUUAUGCUUUUAAGAUUGUGUUUAAAAUUAUUUUUUUGAUGUAAUUAAAAGCGUUUUUAUAGAUCACGAGAAGUAAUACCAAUAGCUUGAUUUGAUGUGUAAAUAAUUUCUAAUAUAUAUUUUACAAAAUAAACUUUGCCUUGUGUGACGGUUUUAAUCGUUUGAUUGAAAACUUGAAGCCUUACAGUUAUUUGUCUAAAUAUUUUAAAUUCUUAUGAAGUGGAAGUACACAACACUUGUGCCAUAUUUUUUCAUCUAAAUUGUGAUGGCUUCAACUCUGAUAGCUUCAUUGAUCCUAAAAUAUUUUUUCAUCCAAAAAACUUAAAAAAAUGUGUCAUAAACAACGACGAACCACUAAAGUUUCAAGCUGCAGUGUCCUUCACUUGCACCACCAACUUCAUGUACAAAUUCUCAAUCGCAUCAUUUCAGUGCAUACCCAAAAGUUCUGAUUAGAUAAGUACUUCAGUUACACCAUCUAUUAAGCAUGGAUCCUUAAAUGGUAGUUGCCGCUUUGCAUGUACAAGUUACUUUGCUGUGGCAAGAUUUUUCAAUUUUCUAGAGUUUUGAAUGCAUGCGAGAUCGUUAUUAUUUUUGCUUAGUUUAUUUGCAAAUACUCUGUUUCUAUUUCAUGUUUCAGUAACUGCUUUUAAUUGACAUAAUCUACAAACAAUAUUAAUUGAUAGUUAAAGUAAAAAAGUAAUGAUACAGUCAUAAACUCUUGUACAAACUGACGUGACAUUAAUUUAUUGGUUAAAUGAAAUAUAAAAUAAUAAAAACAAAUCAUGUGAGUCAAUUGAUAUUUAAUUCAACCAAUCUUAUCAUGCCACGUCAGCUUGUACAAAUUAAGUUUGUACAAGAGUUUGUGGCUAUAUCAUUACUCUUAAAAAAAUUGAACAAAAUAAUAGUUUGAUUAAAUAUAUGUUCCACUUAAUUAAAAUAUUCUUCUUUAAGAUCAAAAUUUGACACAAAAAAAUUUAAAAAAAAUAACAUACUACUAGCGCCAGUGCAGGGGGAAAAAGAAAAAAAAAACUAAUGCAGUUCUCUAUUAAUGAACUAAACUAUAAAAUUAGGGAUCAAUAUGUUAGGAUUCAUCAAUUAAUCAUUUAUUAAAUCGUUUUUAUCGCCAACCUAAUUUAUCAAGUGAAAGGAAAAAGAUUAUUGUACAACUUGAUUACAAGGAAGUAAACUCACAUUCUUUAAAGAAAGCGAGGAAUUGAAUGCAUUUGUUGCAAAUUUGAAGGAGAAUGGAAUCAAUGUUUGCUUGCAGGGAAGGAUGUUCAUGAAGAUUUUCAAAAUUUCAAGAAAUAUUUUCAACAAAAUUGAACAAUAUAGGGACUUUAUGUGUAAUUCAAGAAAACUCCCUGAACGGUGGGCAAGAACCAACCUUCAAGCCCACAAUCUGACAAUCAUCCUAUAUUAUUAUUUCUAUUUUUCGGGGGCUUAUUCUUGUUGAGAUCCCUUGUAAUUUUUGUUGAUACCAAGCAGAACUCAUUUUUUUAAAAUUUUGUCACCAUUAUUGAAUCUCUAACUCACUAAGCAAACAUAAAUACUUCUUUUUACAUCUUUUCUUUUUUGUUUUCUUUUAUUUGAUUUUUCACUCAAAAUUAAACAAUCAAUUAUCAAUUUACUUUUACAAGCAAAUAAUCAAAAUUUUAACUGCAGAAUUGAAGCAGCCAAGCAAUUUAAAGAGGCUUUGUUCGAUAGAUAGGAGCCAAUACAAUGGCUGAUUUUAUAAUGAAAUUGCUUAUUUUCACGUCCAUGUGCAUUUUAACAAGGAAAAAAAAGUAUGUGCAUUUCUUAAUUUAUUCUUUAUUUAAUUUCCAAAAUAUCUUAUAACAAUUUUCUUUUAAGAAUCCCACUCAUUUUUUCAGAAUCUCAUUCAGAGUAUUGGUUAAUGUAAUGUUUGCUAAUUAAGGAUAUCGAUUUCUAGCACCUUUGAAUGGGCUUAUUGAGAGUAAUAUUUAUUCAUUUGAAUUCCUUUUACAAAAGAUGCUUCAUUAAUAAAAUUUUUCUGGGCUAGGGUGGUAAAAAAUGUAUUCAGUUCGAACUUUACUUAUAUGGAUGAAAGGAGAAUUAAGUUGCUAUCAGACUAUAAUUAAAAAAUAAAAUAAAAAUGGCAAGACAGAAAAUAUGUAAUUUUUGUUGUUUUUAAGUGCUUCCAUGUAAAAGUCUCUACAGCAUAUCCGUGUACAACAAACUUAUAUUGAUACAAUUUUGUACGUAGAAAAUAGUUGAGCUCAAUUUAUUCUUCGCCUUUUCGUAGAUGCUUUUGAGAUGUGGGUUACGGAUUAUGUGCUCCCUUGAAGUACUGCUUCAUCAUCUUUAGUUAUUUUAUCAGUAUCGAUCUUUUGUCAAGUGAGUAGUCAAUCAUAUGUAAUUUUAUUCCAUACGCGGAAACACCUACAGCAACAAAAACCAAACCUUCAUGCAACGUAAAUUUAUUUAAUGGCUAGAUUUGCAAAUACACAUUCGUUGACCAACGAACAUUGAAUUGUCUUUGGCAUAAAAUAGAGUUAUAAUUUAUAUGCUAAUGUUAUUCCCAUUAAUAAUUAAUGCUAUAGGCCUUUAACAGUAUUUGGAUAUAAAUUCAAUAUCUGACUCUUCCUAUCAUAUUGAUUUAUGAGUGAUGCUAUUCUUAUUUAGUUGGAAUACUUAGAGUCUGUUUGGUAUGGCUUAUUUAAGAGUCAUAAGUGCUUAUUUAAUCA
rnacentral:lncRNA from 1 species